rnacentral:rRNA from 1 species
GUAGUCCACGCCGUAAACGAUGAUCACUAGAUGUGGGACGUGCAUAGCAUGUUCUGUGUCGUAGCUAACGCGUUAAGUGAUCCGCCUGGGAAUUACGGUCGCAAGAUUAAAACUCAAAGGAAUUGACGGGGGUCCGCACAAGCGGUGGAACAUGUGGUUUAAUUCGACACUACGCGAGAAACCUUACCUGGGCUUGACAUCUAACUGCAACCGAUAGAAAUAUUGGGUUCCGUAGCAAUACGGACGGUUAGACAGGUGCUGCAUGGCUGUCGUCAGCUCGUGUCGUGAGACGUCGGGUUAAGUCCUUGAACGAGCGCAACCCUUGCCGUUAGUUGCCUGUCGUAAGGCGGCACUCUAGCGGGACUGCCGUGGAAACACGGA